rnacentral:rRNA from 1 species
UAACGCGUGGGAAUCUGCCCUGGAGUGGGGGAUAACCGAGGGAAACCUCGGCUAAUACCGCAUACGUCCUGAGGGAGAAAGAUUUAUCGCUCUAGGAGGGGCCCGCGUCGGAUUAGCUUGUUGGUGGGGUAACGGCCUACCAAGGCGAUGAUCCGUAGCUGGUCUGAGAGGAUGAUCAGCCACACUGGGACUGAGACACGGCCCAGACUCCUACGGGAGGCAGCAGUGGGGAAUAUUGGACAAUGGGCGCAAGCCUGAUCCAGCAAUGCCGCGUGAGUGAUGAAGGCCUUAGGGUUGU